ACGAACGCUGGCGGCGUGCUUAACACAUGCAAGUCGAACGGAAAGGCCUGCUUUCCCUUGUGGAUUGCGGGUACUCGAGUGGCGAACGGGUGAGUAACACGUGAGUGAUCUGCCCCCAACUUGGGUAUAAGCCUGGGAAACUGGGUCUAAUUCCCGAUAGGACUGCAGGGUGGUGCCUGUGGUGGAAAACGAUUUUCUAGUGGUUGGGGAUGAGCUCGCGGCCUAUCAGCUUGUUGGUGGGGUAAUGGCCUACCAAGGCGGCGACGGGUAGCCGGCCUGAGAGGGUGGACGGCCACAUUGGGACUGAGAUACGGCCCAGACUCCUACGGAGGCAGCAGUGGGGAAUAUUGCACAAUGGGCGGAAGCCUGAUGCAGCGACGCCGCGUGGGGGAUGACGGCCUUCGGGUUGUAAACUCCUUUCGACCGCGAGGAAGCCACCUGGUUGGAAGGGUGGUGACGGUAGUGGUAGAAGAAGCACCGGCUAACUACGUG
rnacentral:rRNA from 1 species